rnacentral:rRNA from 1 species
UGGGGAAUUUUGGACAAUGGGCGAAAGCCUGAUCCAGCAAUGCCGCGUGUGUGAAGAAGGCCUUCGGGUUGUAAAGCACUUUUGUCCGGAAAGAAAUCCUUGGCUCUAAUACAGUCGGGGGAUGACGGUACCGGAAGAAUAAGCACCGGCUAACUACGUGCCAGCAGCCGCGGUAAUACGUAGGGUGCAAGCGUUAAUCGGAAUUACUGGGCGUAAAGCGUGCGCAGGCGGUUUGCUAAGACCGAUGUGAAAUCCCCGGGCUCAACCUGGGAACUGCAUUGGUGACUGGCAGGCUAGAGUAUGGCAGAGGGGGGUAGAAUUCCACGUGUAGCAGUGAAAUGCGUAGAGAUGUGGAGGAAUACCGAUGGCGAAGGCAGCCCCCUGGGCCAAUACUGACGCUCGUGCACGAAAGCGUGGGGAGCAAACAGGAUUAGAUACCCUGGUAGUCCACGCCCUAAACGAUGUCAACUAGUUGUUGGGGAUUCAUUUCCUUAGUAACGUAGCUAACGCGUGAAGUUGACCGCCUGGGGAGUACGGUCGCAAGAUU